GCCAGGUUGGCGGAGUGGAAACGCGUCUGCCUGCAGAGCAGAUUUUCUCCCGUUCGAACCGGGAACCUGGCU
rnacentral:tRNA from 1 species